rnacentral:rRNA from 1 species
CCUACGGGAGACAGCAGUGAGGAAUAUUGGUCAAUGGGCGCGAGCCUGAACCAGCCAAGUCGCGUGAGGGAAGACGGUCCUAUGGAUUGUAAACCUCUUUUGUCGGGGAGCAAAAGACGCCACGCGUGGCGUUACGAGAGUACACGAAGAAAAAGCAUCGGCUAACCCCGGGGCAGCAGCCGGCGUAAUACGGAGGAUUCUGACGUUAAUCGGAUUUAUUGGGGGUAAAGGGGGCGUAGGUGGGUAAUCAAGUCAGCGGUGAAAGUUUGUGGCUCAACCAUAAAAUUGCCGUUGAAACUGGGUGUCUGGAGUGUAUGUGAGGUAUGCGGAAUGCGUGGUGUAGCGGUGAAAUGCAUAGAUAUCACGCAGAACUCCGAUUGCGAAGGCAGCUUACUGAACUCUAACUGACACUGAAGCACGAAAGCGUGGGGAUCAAACAGGAUUAGAUACCCUUGUAGUC